GACGUGUGCCUGAAUAAAGGACUACUUUGAUAGAGUAGAACAUAGAAGUUUAAACCUCCUCACCUCCU
rnacentral:tRNA from 1 species